rnacentral:rRNA from 1 species
CUUUACUGCAGGCUGAUAUUGGUAUUAGACAUGUUUUGUGUAGGAUAGGUGGGAGGCGAUGAUCUGGUGGCGCCAGCCAUCAGGGAGCCAACGUUGAAAUACCACCCUGAACCUGUUUGAUAUCUAACCCCGAUCCCGUAAUCCGGGCGGUGGACAGUGUCAGUUGGGCAGUUUGACUGGGGCGGUCCCCUCCCAAAGUGUAACGGAGGAGCGCAAUGGUACCCUCAGCCUGGUUGGCAAUCAGGCGUAGAGCGUAAGGGUAGAAGGGUGCUUGACUGCGAGACUGAUAGGUCGAGCAGAAACGAAAGUUGGCCCUAGUGAUCCGGCGGUUCCGAAUGGAAGGGCCGUCGCUCAACAGAUAAAAGGUA